CAAUAGCGUAUAUUAAAGUUGUUGCAGUUAAAAAGCUCGUAGUUGAAUUUUUGCUUGCCUCCGAUGUCGGAACUUCCGUACGUUCGGCGGCGUGCAUCCUUGGGUGGAACCUGUGUGGCAUUAGGUUGUCGUGCAGGGGAUGCUCAUCGUUUACUGUGAAAAAAUUAGAGUGUUCAAAGCAGGCUUACGCCGUUGAAUAUAUUAGCAUGGAAUAAUAAGAUAGGACCUUGGUACUAUUUUGUUGGUUUGCGCACCGAGGUAAUGAUUAACAGGGACAGUUGGGGGUAUUCGUAUUCCAUUGUCAGAGGUGAAAUUCUUGGAUUUCUGGAAGACGAACUACUGCGAAAGCAUUUACCAAGGAUGUUUUCAUUAA
rnacentral:rRNA from 1 species